CCUACGGGGGGCAGCAGUCGCGAAACCUUUACAAUGCGCGAAAGCGUGAUAGGGGGAUUUCGAGUGUCCCUUUUGGGACUUUUGCCAAGUCUAAAUCGCUUGGCGAAUAAGAGGGGGGUAAGAUACGUGCCAGCCGCCGCGGUAAUACGUACCCCUCAAGUGGUAUCCACUUAUAUUGGGCCUAAAGCGUCUGUAGCCGGUGUAACACGUCCUUGGUGAAAUUCGAGCGCUUAACGUUCGAAAGGGCCAAGGAUACGAUUAUGCUCGAGGUCGGAAGAGGUCAAGGGAAUGUUCGGGGUAGCGGUGAAAUGUUGUGAUCCCGAAUGGACCACCAGUAGCGAAGGCGCUUGACCAGGACGAACCUGACGGUGAGAGACGAAAGCUGGGGGAGCGACCCGGAUUAGAUACCCCAGUAGUC
rnacentral:rRNA from 1 species